CGCGCGCUGGCGGCGGUGGUGCUGCCGACCCGCGACGACGGCAAGCUCGACCUCGGCUCGGCGCCGCGGCGCGCGU
rnacentral:tRNA from 1 species